ACCCUCGCCCGAUGUUCGCUGAUUCGUCAGCCGCAUGCCCAGGUGGCCGCGAUCUUCAAGGCUACGGCGCGGAUAGGUCCGCGCUGAUCGUUUUCCUCCAACGACGCUAUGGCGUCUUUCCUUCACCCGCAGGGGCGUUCAGUCCCUCGGGGCUGCGCUCCUG
rnacentral:ncRNA from 1 species